GAAUAGUCGCCGGUUGAACGGGUAUCAUUGAUGUUGAUAAAUAUGAGGAAUGUCCUCACUAUUCU
rnacentral:tRNA from 1 species